GCAUUAAUGGGGUAGUGGUAACCUGGGUCGUUGCCACUUGCGGCAGUGUCGACCCGCCGGGGGUUCGAUUCCCUCUUAAUGCA